rnacentral:lncRNA from 1 species
AUCUUCUGCAGAUUUCUGCCUACCUGAGAUCCUUAGGGGCAUUUUGUAGCUGCUGGAAAGGAAACCAACCCUAUCGCAGACAAAACCAAGAUAGAAAUGAAAGUGUCUCUUGAAAUAAGCUGUAUCUCUUUUGUCCUCAUCCUUCACGUACAUCAAGAUGCAAACCAGUUGCUAUAGAAAUGGAGGAAUGGAAAGAAAUGCUAUGUGAAAACUGAAAGGACUGCUGAGCAUUUGUUAGAUUGUAGGAGCUCAGUGGCAGUCCACCAAAUAGCCUAAAAUGUGUGAGGAGGCCACUGACCUUUCUACAUAUUGUAGAGCUUUUGUCCUUUGUCUGUAUUUAAAGGGCAUCCUGUGGACCUGACUUGUACUACUGAGAUUCACCCAUCUGAUAAACUGCAGUAGGGGAAAGAAAGUACAAGUAAUUCUCCAGAACUUCAGUCAUGCCUUGACUGGUAUGGGAGCUGAUCGUUUUGUUGUGGAUAUUUUCAAACUUUUACCAGAAAAAGGAAUAAAUGUCUUAAAUGUCUUUUGAAAAAAUGAUGACCUCAGGACUGAAUUUCCUGAGUCUUUAGCAUCUGAAUCCUCUUAUCAAACACUUUUGGAAAUAUGAAGAUGCUUGAACUCUUCAAAUUUCUUGCAAGUCUGUCUUUCCUUCCAUUAAAAACUAGGACUAUUCAUAAGUUCUUUCAAGUUGAUAUGGAGCAUCUCAACUUUAGUCAGCUUUACAGCAAGGCAUAUGGGGGUGUAGAUUGCUCGCAUACUUUCAAUAUGAUUUUUAUUCUUACAGUCUAGUGUUCAAUAGUGAGUAUUAAUUUUGUACUGUUGAUUAUUGAAUUUUUUAACAUAUUUUUUAAUAUAUUCAAGAGGUAUUUUCUAAUUUUGCAUGAAAAGAAAACUGAUCUGCUUGAUAUUUAAAUGUAUACUGUAUAAUAUAUGUAUAAUAUUAGGUAGCAUCCUGGGAAUCCUUUGUUUCCUACUUCUCCUUUUUCUAAGCUUUUAAGCUCAUCCAUUUCUAACUUGAUAAUUAUACCUAGAAUUAUUCCCACUUCUGCUUUUAGGUUUAGAAAGAAUUAGUAUGAUAAACACUGUAAGGUUAUUCUUUACUCAUACUUCACUGCUAUAUCUCUAAGGAUUCAUGUUUGCUCCACCAGAAGUUCUCUGAUGUGACAAAAAUCAUUUAUGUAUUGAAGAGGAGAAAAAUUUCCUCAAGGAGGGAGGAAUAAAGUAUUUCCAGACUUGUUCU